rnacentral:lncRNA from 1 species
UCGUUUUACUUAUUCCGAAAGAAACCUCCCAAAAUAAAUCCAUAUAGGGGGAUUCGAACAUAGAGAAUAACCAUGUAUAUGAGCUCCAAUUGUUAGGGUCACGCAAUUAACCACUACUGCUGAAUGCUUACCAUACCGAAGAACACUUAACUUUUUCUCCUACUGUCCACUCUCUCAUAUCAAUACAAUAACAUCCACGACAACGAUUUCAGUACCUUGUGUAAUUCACGAACAUACAAGCAUAUCCCAAACCCUAGAAUAAACAACUUCCAAUCCACAGAAUCUGAUCAAGAUAAUUCCUUCGAUUACAAUUCCUCUCCACUAAACUUACAACCUUGCGAUAAACAGUGACUGGAAACUUCCAUA